CCACACCCACACCUGGGCGUAUGUGGGUGUUCGACCAGAGAAGAGAAAGAAGGGGGAAACCCCUUCUCAAACCCUAAUCGACCAAAUUGGAUGAAUUCUGGCUGAAAUCGAACUUGCAUGAACAAGAUUCUUGAUUGUUCAACUCUGUGAAACACAUGGAAUCCCAAUUGACAUGGACUCAAGAAUGGAAGGCUAAUGGAUCAAGGGUAAAUAAAGAAGCUAUGCACAAACUCGGACGCGCGAUGUAUUGCACGUAUCUCUACCACUACUAUCGAAGAUAAGCAUGCAUUGAUCGAGCCUCAAAUUAAAGAUUGUACGGGAAGAACGGCCACGUAGUCUGAUUUAUGUAUUGUCUUAAAGCGUUACUUUAAUGUGGUUAUUGUUAAUCCCUUUUUUUGUAAAUGUUUAUCAUUUGUAUUUGAGCUUUUAAAUAAGUAAUGGGUCUAAAUAAGAGAGAAAAUUUUUGGGCUCAUAUUUUCCGCUGCGUCAUGUUUAAGUUCUUACAGGGAAUUGUUCAUUAUACGAACGGGUCAUGCCCGAAUUUUGUAAAUAAUAAUACUUAUUUGGAAUAAGAAAUAUGGGUGUUACAAGUUGGUAUCAGAGCCCUGGUUUGAGGGAAAUCAAGUAUGAGGAGGCAAAUACUUGAACUCAAACCUGCGUGCUCUUGUAACCAUGAACCCGUACAAUCCAGGACUCGAUCAAGAUCUAAAGGUAAAAGCG